rnacentral:rRNA from 1 species
UACAGAGGUCCCGAGCGUUGUUCGGAUUCAUUGGGCGUAAAGGGUGCGUAGGUGGCGCUGUAAGUCGGGUGUGAAAUCCUGAGGCUUAACCUCGGAACUGCAUUCGAUACUGCGGCGCUUGAGGACUGGAGAGGAGACUGGAAUUCAUGGUGUAGCAGUGAAAUGCGUAGAGAUCAUGAGGAAGACCAGUGGCGAAGGCGGGUCUCUGGACAGUUCCUGACACUGAGGCACGAAGGCCAGGGGAGCAAACGGG